CGGAGACGCCGAGGCCCGAUGCCGUAUCCUGCCGCCCGUUUUACCCGCGGGAAAGCCGAGGCCCGGUGCUGUAUUCUGCCGCCCAUUUUACCCGCGGGGAAGCUGAGGCCCAGUGCUGUUUAAUAUCUUACUCAUGUUCACUUGAUGAGAAAGUGACAGAUCUGAGACAAACCCAGUUCUAGAGGUUAUGACACCAGCCAUGGAAGAGCAGAGAGGCCAAUGAGGUGGGGAGGUUGGAAACAAAAGGCCUUCUCCACCCCAGCUUGACCAACCCAAAAGCUGGAAGGCAAGGAAGACCUAGGGACUGGACAACAGUGUGUCAUAGGCCUGGAAUCUGAGGAAAGGGGGAGAAAUGCAAAAAGGUGCAAAAAAGGUGCAAAAAGGGCCACUAGACUUGACCAGCCUCACCGUUUUCACAGAAACUAGACUGAACAAAAAGAAAGUGCUCACUGGCCUGAUAGAAGACACGCACUGUUAUCAUCAAUAAGAAUGGACUUAUGUAUUGCUAAUGUUUACUAUGCAAUUAACAAUUUCCGUUGACUGUGUGAAGCAUCUUAAGUGCAUUUUAAAUUUGCUCCUCCCAAAAGGGUACAUGGGCACUGUCUUUAUCCUCAAGUCACAGAUGAGAAAAUGGAGCCCCAGUCAGGUAUUAAUUAAUUACUCAAGGUCACAAAGAGAGAAGCCAGGUGCCCCAGCAAAUCGACCCUGAAGGCAGAGUCCCUGCCCUUCAUCCUCCUCCUCUUCUUGGGGAUUUUCACUGACUUGGAAACAUUCUCCUCUGCUCCUGAGGAUGGCCUGAGUUUAUCAGAAUGGGUGUAUAUUGGCAAUUCUCCUAACAUUUGCUGAAUCUUCAUCAAAGAUGCCAAUACUGUCUGUCAAGCCUGCAGUUCCAGUGUGGCCCCUCUGCCACCGCGCAUUCUCCUCGGUUCACUUUCAAUUGCCUUUUAAUGGGAGAGAGAUAAAGUGAAAUUACAGCCUUGGGUAGCUUCUUACUUGGGAGGCUAGGAACAGCCCGGCCCUGUGCAUCACUUACUAAAGCUGCAUUUACAGUCCCGAGAGCGAAGGGACAGAUCGCAAAUCAGAUCAUUUAUUGCUGCUGCUAGCUCAGCGAGGAGAACAUUCCCAAGGUGAGAGAGGUGGAGGCUCUGUCCGUGAGUAAAACAGUUUGUGUGUCCUGGGCUCUGGAAUCCCACCCAUCCCCUGGUGGGUCAUUUUAAGUGGUAAACUUCCCAGGAGCUGCUUCAGCAGAAUCUGAGCGGAGAGCCUUGGAGUGCUGAGAAGAACACGUGAUUUGGAGGUGGGGUCUGAAUCUUGAGUCCUAGUGCUCAUUGGCUACCAAAUGCUUAUUGAUGAAAUGUAAUUUCAGAGGAACCUUCUUCUGCCAUUUAAAAACAGAAAUUUAAGGGAAGGACUCUGCUAACUCCUCCAGGUUCUAAGAGGAGGAGCAUAUGGCAGUUCUGAGCAGACACUUUGGAAUCUGGCAGAGCCAAGUUCAGCUCCUGGCUCCCUGACUUAUAAGCUGAGACCUUUGCUGGACCUCACUCAGAUUCUUCUACUGCAAAUUCGUCUUGUGAUAUCAACAAAGGCAUUUACAUGUGCCCCUAGCACAGAGCCUGGCAUCCAGAAGUGUUCCAUAAGCAGCAGCAGUUAUUGUGAUGAUUAUUACUGUGACUAUUAUUAAGAGUUUGCCAUUCUGCAAAUAGUUGCCUUUUUUCCAUUCCUUUAGCACCAGGUGCCUUUGGGCCACCAGCUGCCCUUCAGCAAGCACUGCUCAAGGGUUCCAGGAGUUGCAAGCAGCCCUCAUUCUCUUUGGUUCACUUUCAAUUGCCUUUUAAUGGGAGAGAGAUAAAGUGAAAUUACAGCCUUGGGUAGCUGCUUACUUGGGAGGCUGGGAACAGCCCGGCCCUGUGCAUCACAUACUAAAGCUGCAUUUACAGUCCCAAGAGCAAAGGGACAGAUCACAAAUCAGAUCAUUUAUUGCUGCUGCUAGCUCAGCGAGGAUAACAUUCCCAAGGGGAGAGAGGUGGAGGCUCUGGCCGUGAGUGUAACAGUUUGGUCCCAGGGCUCCUGAGGAUCAUACUGGGCAAUGCUAGCGAUAUUGGCUGAGGAGAGCAGUAAACGAUGACCCACAGAAGCUUGCUCUCUCUUCUCUCUCUGUGUUGUAUCUCUCUAUAUUUUGCUCAUCCAUCAAUCUAUGUGUGAGAUGGGGAGGCUCUCUGACCAAUAGUCUUCAAAAAUAAAAUGCAAUUUGCCAAACAAA
rnacentral:lncRNA from 1 species